GUUAGACCUUUACCCGUCUUGAAACACGGACCAAGGAGUCUAACAUGCGCGCGAGUCGUUGGGUCGGACACGCUCCGCUAAACCCAUAGGCGCAAUGAAAGUGAAGGUCGCCCUUUGCGGGACCGAGGGAGGACGGAGGCGCCUCACGGUUCCUCCCGCACUCCC
rnacentral:rRNA from 1 species